AUAGUGAGAGAAAAACUACAGCGUCCAUGGUCACACCACGGUUGGGAGAAGGAUUGGAGAUGGUCUUCAACGUCAAUUAAAUACAUAUCGAUAUUUUGUUUUCAACAAAUUUCAAACAAAUUUUUUUUAGUACAAGUAUGUAGGUACCAAGACACGUAGCGUAUAAUGUGGUGACAUGAGCAAAGAGAGACGAGUGGACAACAACUGGACAACAUUCGGUUCCUAUAUCCUGCGACCUGCAGUUCAGGUUUUUUGUUUCUGUUAUUGUGAACAAUUUUUUAUACAGUACCUACAUUGACCAAAGAUUUGGGGACGGAGUGGCCGAGCGGACUAAAGCGUCGGUUGCGACGCGCACCUACGUCGGUUCAAAACCUCGGCUGUGGGCGGCAAGUCACGGUGUCACCCGAGCAUGAUUAUAAAAAUAUACAUCUUUGAUUUAUACGUAAGAUACCUUCUCAAGUGGAAAAGCUAAAAGUCGCUCUUUCGACGAACAACUAUUCAACCACAAAUUGCAGGAAUUCAACGAGGAAAAAUCCCGGAAUAAAAGCGAUGCAAAAUUGCGAUUAUUAAUUAGGUCUCACUAAAUAAUAACUAUUUAUUUAACUGAGUAAAACAAUGUACUAUUAAGGUCUAGGUUCCUAAUUGUAAUAUAUUAUAAUAUAAUAGUGCUGUUUGGAGGAAAUGUUUAACGUUCUCUGUAUUUAUCUAAAAAUGUCGUCAUGUAUACAUUAAUGUGUCACAUGUGUACAUUAAAUAACUUCAUACUUUACCAACAA